UGGGGUAUGUGGUUCGGUGAAGCACGUGACUUAGUAAACCCUAAACCCAUCCCUCUCUCAGUAGAGGUUAAUUUAAUCGUUGGGGUGAUUCGCCUGUGUUUUCCCCUUGUCAGUUUAAAAAUGAAACACUGAUGCCUCGCACGUGCUGGAUCCAUGAUGAACCUUAGGGAGAGGUUUGUAGGGAUGUGCUUGCUUUCAUCACUGGAGAUGAUGCCUCGCGAUUAACUAUGUUCCUCACCUCUCCCCUCAUACCCCACCACUAUUUU
rnacentral:telomerase_RNA from 1 species